UUUCAGCUGACAUUAAGCUUGGCAUCCUUUUGGAACCAUACCUGCAAUAUUAGAAUGUUCCAGUUUCUCUACUCUUUAAUAGCUGCUUCCUGCGUCAGAACCACCUUGGGGUUGCCGCCCUUUGGUUUCCCUCAUAAAACACCGGGAUUGUAACCAAGUGCAAUUUAAAAUUUGUCCACUUUAUUUCCGAGCUUCAGUGAUAAUUAUCAUGUGGUUAGAGCAUCAGGAAGAUUGGUAGAUGCUCCAAGAACUUUCCCACCAACAUCUGGAAAAUAUUCAUGACCAGGCAGUGGACUGACUUUUCCAUCUCGGCUCACCUUAAUUGGAUAACUCAUCAAGUGACCUCUCAUCUCCUUGUUUCCCUCAGCCACGUAAGUCUUCCAGUUACAUUUAGCAAUUUUGUUCACAUGCUCAAUGCAUUCUAGGGUCUGCGGUUCACGGAAAGAAUCUUCGAGGAAGCCAAGGUGCUCAGCCCAGAGAGACAUCCGAUAACCAUACACCUGCAUCCAACAAGCAGCUUUUUCCACCCAACACUCCUCAAGGGGUAUCAAGAUGAAAGAUCCACAAUCUCAUGAUGGUUGGAUGUGAAAAACAUCACGGUGAAGAGAAAUGAAGGUAGCUGAGAUGCAACCCAUGAUUGCACACUUAUUGCAAGCAAUGCGGGCACUCCAGCAAUGACUGCUUGCAUGCCAGCAAUGUGAAUGUGUGGAAGCCCAAACAGGGAUCCCAGAAGGUGAUUGCAGAUCCUCCGACAUGCUACUUUGGAGUCAAGUUCUUUUCAAGCAGGGGAAUAUUGACUGAGUGAAGUAGCACUCAGCAGUCAGCAUUUGGUGGUGGAGGUGGUGGCUAGCAGUAGUGAAUGGUGGUUGGUGGUGGCAAUGGGCAGCAGUGGCCCACUUUGGUGAGCAGUGUGGGUGGCGGUUACCAGUUGUGAGUAGCGGUGGAUGGUAGUGGUUGGCAGUGGCAGGCAGUGGUGCAUGGAGGUGGAUGGCAGCGGUAGGAAGCAGUAAGUGUUGGUGGUGGUUGGCAGCAGUGGACAAUGCGGUCAAUGAUGGUGGUCAGCAUUGGCAGCUGCAAGUGAUGAGCAACAAUGGGUGAUGUUGGAACCUGUGAGUGAUGGGAUAUGAAAGGGUUGGGAGUCUUAUAUUGUAUCUGAAUUCAUAUAAAGCAUUAUUUAUAGAACCCUAAAAUCGAGGUGUUUC